rnacentral:rRNA from 1 species
UGGGGAAUAUUGCGCAAUGGGGGAAACCCUGACGCAGCGACGCCGCGUGUGGGAUGAAGGUCUUCGGAUCGUAAACCACUGUCGCGAGGGACGAAGCUCUGACGGUACCUCGAAAGGAAGCACCGGCUAACUCUGUGCCAGCAGCCGCGGUAAUACAGAGGGUGCGAGCGUUGUCCGGAAUCACUGGGCGUAAAGGGCGCGUAGGCGGCCCGGUAAGUAGGGGGUGAAAUCUCAUGGCUCAACUGUGAGGCUGCCUUCUAGACUGCCAGGCUUGAGCACAGUAGAGGCGAGUGGAAUUCCCGGUGUAGCGGUGGAAUGCGUAGAGAUCGGGAAGAACAUCGGUGGCGAAGGCGGCUCGCUGGGCUGUUGCUGACGCUGAGGCGCGAAAGCGUGGGGAGCAAACAGGAUUAGAUACCCCGGUAGUCCCUGAGCGGGCUGGCAAGGCGCAU